UUGACCUACGGGAGGCAGCAGUGGGGAAUAUUGCACAAUGGGGGAAACCCUGAUGCAGCAACGCCGCGUGGGUGAAGGAGCGUUUCGGCGCGUAAAGCCCUGUCAGCGGGGAAGAAGAAAGACGGUACCCGACCAAGAAGCCCCGGCUAACUACGUGCCAGCAGCCGCGGUAAUACGUAGGGGGCAAGCGUUAUCCGGAUUUACUGGGUGUAAAGGGGGCGCAGACGGCGAUGCAAGCCAGGAGUGAAAGCCCGGGGCCCAACCCCGGGACUGCUCUUGGAACUGCGUGGCUG
rnacentral:rRNA from 1 species